rnacentral:rRNA from 1 species
UACGGGGGGGGCAAGCGUUGUUCGGAAUUACUGGGCGUAAAGGGCUCGUAGGCGGCCAACUAAGUCAUACGUGAAAUCCCUCGGCUUAACCGGGGAACUGCGUCUGAUACUGGAUGGCUUGAGUUCGGGAGAGGGAUGCGGAAUUCCAGGUGUAGCGGUGAAAUGCGUAGAUAUCUGGAGGAACACCGGUGGCGAAGGCGGCAUCCUGGACCGAUAUUGACGCUGAGGCGCGAAAGCCAGGGGAGCAAACGGG